rnacentral:rRNA from 1 species
CCUACGGGGCGCAGCAGUGAGGAAUAUUGGUCAAUGGGCGGGAGCCUGAACCAGCCAAGUCGCGUGAGGGAAGACGGUCCUAUGGAUUGUAAACCUCUUUAGGCGGGGAGCAAUGCCGGGCACGCGUGCCCGGAGGGAGAGUACCCGCAGAAUAAGCAUCGGCUAACUACGUGCCAGCAGCCGCGGUAAUACGUAGGGAGCUAGCGUUAUCCGGAAUUACUGGGCGUAAAGGGUGCGUAGGUGGUUUCUUAAGUCAGCGGUGAAAGGCUACGGCUCAACAGUAGUAAGCCUUUGAAACUGGGAAA